GUACCUAUGAGGAGUCCCAGACUGGGACGAAACAGCUGUCUGGCAC
rnacentral:hammerhead_ribozyme from 1 species